CAGCGGUAGCGCGGCCUCCAUCUCCCUGCCUGCGGAGACGCCCCGGCUCAUCGCCGAGCUCCGCUCGUUCCGCCGGAACUUCGCCCGCCUGUUCUGAAACCACACCUGCACAGAAGAGAUGACAUGCUUUUGCUGACGAUUCACUGAUUAGCGCUCCAUUGAGUUCCUUCCGAUCUCUCAAAAGAGAGUACGCCUGUCUCUCAAAUGAAUUCUACGAAUUGAAGAGUAGAGUAUAACUCAAAUAAAUCCGACUCAAAGGGGCACGCCGCCUUUUAGGAAUAUCUUCGACGAAAAUCUAAUGGAUCCGACAUGUCCGACUAUCACAAAUGCUCCUCGUCCGACAUCAGUCGAGGAAGACCAUAGCCGCAAGACAAAUAAAUUCGAUUUGAAGCACAUCACGCGUCUCUCCGUCAAAGAAUCACUUCUUCCAAGGAAAAACCUUCGCUAUUGACGCUCUUCGCCUCGCGUCACUCCGAAAAUCUCGCGUCUCCGACCUCCGGGUCCCGGAGCGGCGAGGGAACGGAGGAACGGAAGGACGAAACGGCGCGGCGCGCCGACCGAAGACGGGACAGCGUGACGGCUCCUGGCAGGCGUACCGACGACGACGCAGACAGACGCGUGUACGCGGCAUGGACCGCUGGCGACGGCGACGGCGACGCGAACACGUGCUCGACGCACGACGCCGGAGCGCGCAGAUGCUGGAGCGCGCGUCGCCGUCCGGCUAAUCAUAGCUCUCUGUCUUUCUCUCUCUUCCCCCUUACUCUCUCUCUCUCUCUCUUUCUCUCUUUCUCUCUUUGCUCUGACAACCUGUCUCCUCCGAUUUUCUGCCUAGCUGUCCGCGACCUCCACCUUCCGCCGCCUCUUCCUCCUCCUUCUCCUCCUUUUCCUUCAUCUUUCUUUUCCUCGUGCUACCGACGACGCAUUGCGUUCGGUAUACAAGAGCCUAACACAUGUGCACGUCGUGAUACUUUCUCGGACAGCUAGUCUUCUCGGUUACCGAGUGGAAGACAGCUUCAAAGAGCGGUCCGCUCGUUCUGUAGGUCGGUCGGUUGCUCGGUUGGUUGGCUAGCCGGUUGGAGCAUCUCGAGACGGCGGUUUAUCGUUCCGCUACGUUCCAUCAUCCUCGUGCAGGGUAAAACGACAUCGAACGUCAUUAGGAAUGUUGCCCCGUCGGUGUAUCCGAAUUCGACCUCCUCUCUUUCUUUUUAUCUAAUACUAUUUGGAUUUCAGUUCAAUUGUACGUUCCUCAAUAAUUUAAGCUUGUUUCACUUUUUCGCUUUUAUUAUAUAUUUAGGUUUAUAAGUCAGCAAAUGAAUGAGAAUGGCAUAAAUGUAGAUAUUUAUUAAUCCUAACUGUGCACCAAGAGAAAUUGUCAAUGCACUAAAUAUUUGUCGGACGAUUUGAAAGAAACGAUUCUCUAAUUGUUCCCUAAUUAUUAUCUAGCAAUCAACCAAUAAUGUUUUCAUUAUUUGUAUGUACCAUAAAUAUAAUAGAAAUGUAAUUUAGUAGGAUCAAUCCACAAGCAAUGCAAGUCAUGCAAGAUUAUUUAUUAUACGAUUCAUUUUCUGCAUUGUUAGAAAUAUAAAAAUAAAAUGGGACAAAAAA